rnacentral:lncRNA from 1 species
CGCUGGCACGAGCGUGUUCUGGACCCGUGCCGUGCCCCCAGGCAGCUGGGGAGUUGUCUGCCGUGUAGUGCGGCGGGCCACCAGGAGAAUCUGACCCAGUGUCCUGGAUGGGCCAGUUCCCAGUCGUGCGCUCGUGGCCCAGACCAGACCCGGGCUGGUGUGUGGAGCCAGCCACGCGGGCCCGUCUGUCCUCCGUGCCCUGAGUGGGCGCAGAUGAGAGAGGGCGCGGUUGCUCCGUCCGCUUUUCUCCCCUCUCGCCCCCGUGCGGGGAGCCGUCCAGCGGGGCCUGGUUGGACUGAGCCCGUGCCGGACACGGUGCUCAGUUGCCGUCCUGGAGGGCCCAGAGGAUUGCUCGAGGUGUGCCCACCAGGCCCCUCCCCUGAGACAGGGGGCUGGCUGGGUGCCGUCAGGCUCUUUCUUGGCUCCCCCUGGAACCCGGAGGUGGCCCUUGCCUGGUUCCUGGAUCCUUUCACUUCCCCUUCCUCGUCGCCUUGCCGUGUGGAAGGGAAGGGCCGCUCUUAGCCCGCCAGCCCUGGCCAAGGAGGGGAACCCACUUGGAGGGUGGGGUGGCACCAAGUCCUUGCGCGGCCCAACGCACAAGGGGGGACGGCGCGCCCUCGCCCUGGCCCCGGUGCCACCAGUUUCCCUUGGUCGGGAUUCUUUGUGGCCUAGGCAGGCAGGCGCCCAUGCUGUCUCCGCACUGACCUAGGCACCCACCCACAUGAGGCGUCGGGAGGUGUGGGGCCGGGAGAACAUUUCUCUGCCUGGUUUCCUAGGCGGAGGCAGGUGUGUUGUCGGCAAAGACCCUCACUCAGGCCAAGUGUGUGAUGUCUCUUCUUCUUCCGCAGACGCCAAGCCCGGCACCCGGGAACCUGUUCCGGACGUGCCGCUCCCAACCAUGACUCCCAGCACCGAGGCUGACCACGACCACGACCACGACCACGACCACGACCACGACCACGACCACGACGCCGAGCCCGGCACCCGGGAACCUGUUCCGGACGUGCCGCUCCCAACCAUGACUCCCAGCACCGAGGAGGCUGACCAUGACCACGACCCCGACCCUGACCACGACCACGACGCCGAGCCCGGCACCCGGGAACCUGUUCCGGACGUGCCGCUCCCCAACCAUGACUCCCAGCACCGAGGAGGCUGACCACGACCACGAACCCUGACCACGACUUCGACCACGACCACGGAACGGGGCCGUGUGGCUUGGGCCACCUGCCCUGGGAACCCGCUGGGUUGCUCGGUGACCUAA